rnacentral:rRNA from 1 species
UACGUAGGGUGCAAGCGUUGUCCGGAAUUAUUGGGCGUAAAGAGCGUGUAGGCGGCCAGACAGGUCCGCUGUGAAAACUCGAGGCUCAACCUCGAGAUGUCGGCGGAAACCAUCUGGCUAGAGUCCGGAAGAGGAGAGUGGAAUUCCUGGUGUAGCGGUGAAAUGCGCAGAUAUCAGGAAGAACACCCGUGGCGAAGGCGGCUCUCUGGGACGGUACUGACGCUGAGACGCGAAAGCGUGGGGAGCGAACAGG